rnacentral:rRNA from 1 species
UAGGGAAUCUUCGGCAAUGGGGGGAACCCUGACCGAGCAACGCCGCGUGAGUGAAGAAGGUUUUCGGAUCGUAAAGCUCUGUUGUUAAGGAAGAACGAGUGUGAGAAUGGAAAGUUCAUGCUGUGACGGUACUUAACCAGAAAGGGACGGCUAACUACGUGCCAGCAGCCGCGGUAAUACGUAGGUCCCGAGCGUUGUCCGGAUUUAUUGGGCGUAAAGCGAGCGCAGGCGGUCAAUUAAGUCUGAUGUGAAAGCCCCCGGCUCAACCGGGGAGGGUCAUUGGAAACUGGUUGACUUGAGUGCAGAAGAGGAGAGUGGAAUUCCAUGUGUAGCGGUGAAAUGCGUAGAUAUAUGGAGGAACACCAGUGGCGAAGGCGACUCUCUGGUCUGUAACUGACGCUGAGGCUAGAAAGCGUGGGUAGCAAACAGG